rnacentral:rRNA from 1 species
GACGAACGCGGGCGGCGUGCCUAAUACAUGCAAGUGGAACGCAUUGGUAACACCGGACUUGCUCCAGUGUUACUAAUGAGUCGCGAACGGGUGAGUAACGCGUAGGUAACCUGCCUGAUAGCGGGGGAUAACUAUUGGAAACGAUAGCUAAUACCGCAUAAGAGGAGUUAACUCAUGUUAACUGUUUAAAAGAAGCAAUGGCUUCACUAUCAGAUGGACCUGCGUUGUAUUAGCUAGUAGGUAGGGUAACGGCCUACCUAGGCACCGAUACAUAGCCGACCUGAGAGGGUGAACGGCCACACUGGGACUGAGACACGGCCCAGACUCCUACGGGAGGCAGCAGUAGGGAAUCUUCGGCAAUGGACGCAAGUCUGACCGAGCAACGCCGCGUGAGUGAAGACGGUUUUCGGAUCGUAAAGCUCUGUUGUAGGGGAAGAACGUGUGUAAGAGUGGAAAGCUUACACAGUGAC